rnacentral:rRNA from 1 species
UGAAUCAUCGAAUCUUUGAACGCACAUUGCGCCCUCUGGUAUUCCGGGGGGCAUGCCUGUUUGAGCGUCAUUUC